rnacentral:lncRNA from 1 species
UAUGAAUGAAGGUCUGUGUGCAUUCAAAUUUUGCUUGGAACCUGAACCAAUAAGAAAAGUGAUCUCAAUUCCACCAAUAGAAAGCAAAUCUUGAGGAAAGCUUGGAGAUCUCCUUCAGAGCUGCUGAUUCAUUUCCCCCAGCAAAACCCAAGAAUACAAAGUGAAUGACAGGAAAGAAACACAAUUUACUUUAGGCCGUGAAUUCAAUUAUAAAAGAGAAAAAUGUCCCGAGAUGGUAUCACAUUCAUGUACCAUGUAUUUAACAUGUUUGCUAUUACCCCAGAAACUGCACAGGUCUGUGUGCAUCCAGAAUUGUGCGUGGAAUCUGAACCAAUAAGAAGAGCGAUCUCAUUUCCACCAAUGGAACAAAUUCUGAGGAAAUCUUGGAGAUCUUCAGAGGUGCUGAUUCAAUUCUCCUCCCAAUUAAAUGUGUGCUGCCACAGAAACAACCAUACAGAAAAUGGAUUGCAGAAAAUAAUAUAAUUGAUCCUAGGCCCUAAAUACCAUUAAAAAAGAGAAAAGAAAACAUCCUGCAGUAAAUAGGUGUGAACAUAUAUCUAGCUCUUUGGGCCUAUAUCCAGUAUAUCUACAUGAAAUCUUCCCUAUCUGCCUCCGGAUUGCUGCCUGUGAUUCUGUGCUGCCAAUUACAGCAGGCUUGUAAAGUUUACUGUUUUCAUGUCAGGUUCCCCAACUGCACUUAUGUGGGGAAUCUGACACUGAAAUUCACAGGGUCUCUUGUGGCUGCCUUUGAGUAAUUGCAAGUAGUAGAGAGAAAAUAAUGGUCACUGGGUUGUUUCCCUUUACCAAGUUUUCUUUAUCUCAUCCAAAU